UACGUAGGGGGCAAGCGUUGUCCGGAUUUAUUGGGCGUAAAGAGCUCGUAGGUGGUUCGGUAAGUCGGAUGUGAAAUCUCCAGGCUCAACCUGGAGGGGUCAUUCGAUACUGCCGUGACUAGAGUUCGGUAGGGGAGUGUGGAAUUCCUGGUGGAGCGGUGAAAUGCGCAGAUAUCAGGAGGAACACCAAUGGCGAAGGCAGCUCGCUGGGACGUGACUGACGCUGAGACGCGAAAGCGUGGGGAGCAAACAGG
rnacentral:rRNA from 1 species